GUACUGCUGAAGAGUCUCAAACUAGACUGAUGAAACAGCUGUCCAGUAC
rfam:Trichobilharzia regenti genome assembly, scaffold: TRE_scaffold0085635